rnacentral:rRNA from 1 species
GACGUAGGGCGCGAGCGUUGUCCGGAUUUAUUGGGCGUAAAGAGCUCGUAGGCGGUUUGUCGCGUCGGGAGUGAAAACCUUGGGCUUAACUCAGGGCUUGCUUUCGAUACGGGCAGACUAGAGGUAUGCAGGGGAGAACGGAAUUCCUGGUGUAGCGGUGAAAUUCGUAGAUAUGGGGAGGAACACCGGUGGCGAAGGCGGCCACCUGGACGGAUACUGACGCUGAGACGCGAAAGCGUGGGGAGCAAACAGG